CGAACGAUGAAACUUAAAUGAUUUCUUCGGAAUGAACUUAAGUGGAUUAGUGGCGGACGGGUGAGUAACGCGUGAGUAACCUGCCUUACACAAGGGGAUAGCCGUUGGAAACGACGAAUAAUACCCUAUGAAACUAUCACUUCGCAUGAAGCGAUAGUCAAAGUGUUAGCGGUGUAAGAUGGACUUGCGUCUGAUUAGCUAGUUGGUGAGAAAAAAGCCCACCAAGGCAACGAUCAGUAGCCGGCUUGAGAGAGUGUACGGCCACAUUGGGACUGAGACACGGCCCAGACUCCUACGGGAGGCAGCAGUGGGGAAUUUUGCACAAUGGGGGAAACCCUGAUGCAGCGACGCCGCGUGAUUUAGAAGGCCUUCGGGUUGUAAAAAUCUUUUGUAUAGGAAGAAAAUGACAGUACUAUACGAAUAAGGUCCGGCUAAUUACGUGCCAGCAGCCGCGGUAAUACGUAAGGACCGAGCGUUGUCCGGAAUCAUUGGGCGUAAAGGGUACGUAGGCGGGUCAUUAAGUUAGAAGUCAAAGGCUAUAGCUCAACUAUAGUAAGCUUCUAAAACUGGCGACCUUGAGUAAUGGAAGGGAAAGUGGAAUUCCUAGUGUAGCGGUGGAAUGCGCAGAUAUUAGGAGGAAUACCGGUGGCGAAGGCGACUUUCUGGCCAUUAACUGACGCUGAGGUACGAAAGCGUGGGUAGCAAACAGGAUUAGAUACCCUGGUAGUCCACGCCGUAAACGAUGAGUGUUAGGUGUCUGGAGUAAAUCUGGGUGCCGCAGCUAACGCA
rnacentral:rRNA from 1 species